rnacentral:rRNA from 1 species
GGAGGGUGCAAGCAUUAAUCGGAUUUAUUGGGCGUAAAGGGCGCGUAGGCGGGGAUGAAAGUCAGAUGUGAAAGCCCGGGGGGGCUCAAACCCCCGGGAGUUGCAUUUGAAACUCCAUCUCUUGAGGGUAGGCGGAGAAAAUGGAAUUCCACAUGUAGCGGUGAAAUGCGUAGAUAUGUGGAAGAAUACCGGUGGCGAAGGCGAUUUUCUAGCUUACUCCUGACGCUGAGGCGCGAAAGCAAGGGGAGCGAACAGGAUUAGAUACCCUGGUAGUCCUUGCCGUAAACGAUGCAUACUUGGUGUAGCCGGACUCAACCCUGGCUGUGCCGGAGCUAACGUGUUAAGUAUGCCGCCUGGGGAGUACGCUCGCAAGGGUG